rnacentral:rRNA from 1 species
AAUGUAGGCGGUUUGGUAAGUCAGGUGUGAAAGCCCUCAGCUCAACUGAGGAAUUGCAUUUGAUACUACCGAACUUGAGGACAGGAGAGGAAAGUGGAAUUCCCGGUGUAGCGGUGGAAUGCGUAGAUAUCGGGAGGAACACCAGAGGCGAAGGCGGCUUUCUGGACUGGUCCUGACACUGAGAUUCGAAAGUUAGGGGAGCAAACAGGAUUAGAUACCCUGGUAGUCC